CGGUUAAGUUAGAAAGGGCGCACGGUGGAUGCCUUGGCACUAGGAGCCGAUGAAGGACGGGACGAACACCGAUAUGCUUCGGGGAGCUGUAAGCAAGCUUUGAUCCGGAGAUUUCCGAAUGGGGAAACCCACUGCUCGUAAUGGAGCAGUAUCCAUAUCUGAAUUCAUAGGAUAUGAGAAGGCAGACCCGGGGAACUGAAACAUCUAAGUACCCGGAGGAAGAGAAAGCAAAUGCGAUUCCCUGAGUAGCGGCGAGCGAAACGGGAUUAGCCCAAACCAAGAGGCUUGCCUCUUGGGGUUGUAGGACACUCUGUACGGAGUUACAAAAGAACGAGGUAGAUGAAGAGGUCUGGAAAGGCCCGCCAUAGGAGGUAACAGCCCUGUAGUCAAAACUUCGUUCUCUCCUGAGUGGAUCCUGAGUACGGCGGAACACGUGAAAUUCCGUCGGAAUCCGGGAGGACCAUCUCCCAAGGCUAAAUACUCC
rnacentral:rRNA from 1 species